UUAAGCCAAUUACAUUAUUCCAGUCGGCCAAAUUCUUAGCUAUUUCACUAGUGUUACUUCUAUUCUAUCGAUUGAGCACAAGAAAUUGCCAAGUCAACUGUUUCAACUACAAAAUAAAGUGAUCGGAAAUUGGUAAUUUGGCCAGUUUAACACAAAGUGCAAAAUAUUCUAAUUUCAAAACAGGGUCCAGAAUAAACAAUGCAGACAUUCCUGGAACUAAACUAACAUUUCCUCUGUUUAUUAGUUACAUUUUGAGGCUUUACAAAUGAAUUCCAUUUUGAUUUUUUAUUCACAUAAUGAAUUUUUAUUCAAACCAAAAAAUAGAAGAUUUACUGUUAUGCAAUAUUGUAAUAAUUGUAUAAAUAAUAUCGCCACAUUUGUGAACGUAUAUUAGACACACCAGCUGGCGUGUAUUAGACGUGUGAGGUCAUUUGUUUACUGUUGAACAUCGGCAAAAAUUUAUCAUUUCUGCUACUUUGAGCUCAGUUUCAAGCAAUUUUCAUUACUAAAACCAAUCAAAAUCUUCUCAAUUUCUGUAAUAUAUCUUCCAUUCUAUCAAUUGAGACCAAGAAAUCGCGAAUACAACAAUAAAAAACAUACAAAAAAACACUGCAAACUCGCUGUUUUAAUUGAAAAUUACUGUCUCAGUUUUUUUCUCUCAUUAUGCACUGUGUGCUGCAGGAUUUGUUUUAUGUGGUGCACACAUACCACAUAGAUGUAUUUUCUCAUAUCUAGGCCCAAAUUUACCACUCACAGCUUAUCAGAGUGAGCUGAGCUCAUAGCAUAGAUCUACGGUUUGGAUCCUCAACGUAUAGCCGUAGAACUAUGGCACGGACCCUGAAAGGGUUAAAAAGUAAAAUACACACACAGUAUACUCAUUAUUUACCUCAAAAUAUUUGUAGUCUUAAUGUAGGGCUAAAAGUGAGUAGUAUUUACUGUAAGAAGUCAGGUGUGGAAGCCCUCCUGGCCACCCCACCCGCACAUAUAAUACAGUGGACCCCCGCAUAACGAUUACCUCUGAAUGCGACCAAUUAUGUAAGUGUAUUUAUGUAAGUGCGUUUGUACAUGUAUGUUUGGGGGUCUGAAAUGGACUAAUCUACUUCACAAUAUUUCUUAUGGGAACAAAUUCGGUCAGUACUGGCACCUGAACAUACUUAUGGAGUGAAAAAAUAUCGUUAACCGGGGGUCCACUGUACUAUGAUGCUUAAAGCUCCCUAGUGAUAGAAUGCAUAUACAUACAGUGGUCCCUCGAUAAUCGUAGAUUUCGGAAAUCAUAGGGAUAUUUUCGUAUAAACAUGGGCUCCCUAAUCGUAGGUUGACUCGCGAACAGUAGGUUGUCCGGGACGCUUACGCACGGUGUGAGCCGGGGCGGCCUCCCUACCCAGCCAGUGUGGCAUUGUUUACCAGUGAGCGAAGGUCCACUCACGUGCUCCUACGAAAUAUUUCAUAAUAUUCCACUCAUUUUAGUGCUUGCAAGUACUAAAUAAGCUACCAUGGCUCCAAAGAAAGCUCCUAGUGCCAAGCCUGUGGUAAAGAAGGUGAGAAAUACGAUUGAAUUUAAGAAAAACAUCAUUGAACAAUAUGAAAGUGGCACAAGUGCGGCCAAACUGGCCAGGAUGUAUAAGAAACCCUACACAACUAUAUGUUCCAUCGUGGCCAAGAAAGAGGAAAUCAAGGACGCUGUUGUUGGGGUUGGAUGUGAGUUUGGAGGAUGUGGAAGAGUUGGUGGAAGACCACAAUGAAGAGCUCACCACUGAGGAGCUGCAAGAGCUUCAGCAGGAACAGCAACAGAUCGCAGCUCAGAAUCUUGCUGCAGAGGAGGAGGAAGAGAGAUGGAAGAAGGUGCCUUCUUCAGAAAUUAGAGAUUUUUGCUAUGUGGGGUAAGAUGGAAAGAUUUAUGGAGAAACAUCACCCUGACAAGGCUGUUGCAAGCCAUGUUGGCAACAUGUACAGUGACAAAGUCUUGGGCCAUUUUAGGGAAGUGUUAAAGAGACGCCAGAAACAGAGCUCUCUCCACAGUUAUUUUCCGAGACAGGACUCCAGUGACUAUCAAGCUGGUCCUAGUGGCAUUAAGAAACAGAGAAGAGAAGCAACCCCAGAAAAGCAACUGGUACCUGAGGUGUUGCUGGAAGGGGAUUCCCCUUCCAAACUGUAAACAAUCCAAUCUCUCUCCUCCUCCAGUCUCCCAUACACUAAGAAGAAUCUCCAAUAAAGGUAAGUGUUAUGCUGUUAAUGUUUCAUUCAUCAUUUCCCAUUGUAUUGUUUAUGUACUACAUCUAUAUUUCAUGUAAAAAGAUUUUUUGUUUUAAUACAGUGGACCCCCGGUUAACGAUAUUUUUUCAUUCCAGAAGUAUGUUCAGGUGCCAGUACUGACCGAAUUUGUUCCAAUAAGGAAUAUUGUGAAGUAGAUUAGUCCAUUUCAGACCCCCAAACAUACACGUACAAACGCACUUACAUAAAUACACUUACAUAAUUGGUCGCAUUCAGAGGUAAUCGUUAUGCGGGGGUCCACUGUACAUCCAAAAUUGAUUAAUGUGAACUUUGAAAGCCUUUAUUCCCGUACUAUUUAAUUUUGAGAGAACCUUUUUUUUUUUAUAACAUUUCUAAAAGUAAUGGCAGUAUAUAGAGGUUUAUAAGAGCACUGAUUGUUUAUAGAGGAGCUUUAUAAGAGAACUGACUGUAUAUAAAGAGCUUUGUAAAAGCUGUAUAUAGAGGAGUGACUAUAUAAAAUAGCUGUAUAAGAGUGCUGACUGUGCUCUGUAUUAUUCACAAAGUUGAGAUGGAGCUUAAACUUUGUUUUGGAUGUCAAUCAAAUCUUAUGUCACUUAAAAACAGUUCUCGACCAAGACCUGAAGGUUGGUCCAGAACCGACACCUCGUCUAAAACCUCAACUUCCAGGCUGGGAGUCAGUUAUGAAUUGUUGCAGCCACAUUAUUGUGAUAUAUUCUUCCCAUAGUCUUCAUUAGAAGUGAAAGUAACUCAUGAAAAAAGAAUCGUUGUAUAUAUUAAUAUAUAUAUAAUAUAUAUAUAUAUAUAUAUAUAUAUAUAUAUACAUACAGUGGAACCUCAAAUAUUGAACUGCUCCCAGCUCAACCAAUUAUGUAAGUGUUUUUUAUAAGUGUAUUUUUGAGGGUCUGAAAUGAACUAAUUUAAUUUACAUUACUCCUGAUGAGAAUAAAUUCGUUCGGUAACAGCACUCGAACAGUCGUCUGGCACGAAGGAAGUUCGAUAUUUGAGGUUCCACUGUAUAUAUAUAAUCUAAAAAAAAAUCAAAGUUUAGAUAGAAGGAAGCAUAAUGUGAUGUUCGUUGUACAUGUCCUUUAACCUUAUAUAUUGUUGGUGCAUGAAAUCGUAACGAUUGCAAAAAAUCUGGGAACAGAUGGGAAUUGAACCCACAGCAAGUCGUAAAACUCGCAGGCUAACAUGUUAACAGCUUGACCAGCUGACUCGAAUGAGAUUCAUACAACUAACCAUACUUCUACACUUCAUAGGAAGGAUAGCAUGAGCCACACACACUGACCGUGUGACAGCAAAUACCAGUUUUUACGAACAAAUUCCACACCAGCACGUGUUGCAACUGUCUCAAAGCCGGUCACAGUGGGGGCCCAUGCUAACCUUAUGGUGUAUAAAAUAUAGCUAGCUGCCCAAGUGGUUAGCACACUUGCCUGCCAGGUUUACCACCCACCUGACAGAGGUUCAAGUCCCACCCAUUCAAUUAUUUAUUUUGUUAGUAAUUCUACAAAUGUCAAAAAAAAAAAAAAAAAAAAAAAAAAAGCUUAAAGGUGUAGGUCGAUCUAUAUCACUUUGGCAAGUGAUAUAGAUCAACCUUUGUAAAUACACUCAGGCUCGCCUUUGCAAAGAAAAAGCUCAUUGGAGGGCAUUGUGCUGUGUGUGUGUGUAGAGCAUUUGGUGAUGACAUGACAGAGCUCUGUAAAGCUUUUAUUUACACUUUUUGCCCUGUAGAGCUUUAUUAUAAAACUCGAUGCUUCUUUGAAUUAAAUCUAGGAAUGUAGAGCUUCAUUAUAAAGCUCUAAACAGCUCUGAAUUAGAUAUUUCUCUGAUGAGCUUCAUUAUAAAGCUCCAAACAGGUUUUAAUUAUUUAGCCUUGAAGAGCUUCAUUAUGAUAAAGCUCCAUGCUGAGCAUGAUGAUGUACCAGUAAGAGCUUGUUCACCAGUACAAUGAGCGUGUAUCAACCUUUUUGUUCAGUAUUGUUCAUAAUGUGAUUGGUGCCAGGCACAGUACAGUGACAGAUUAUUUUUGUAUCCAAUGAUGUAAUUAUCUUUAAUUUCUUCUGUGAUAAUGCAGUGGAGCACCGGACCAGUUCUUAGGAGCGCCGGACCAGUUCUUAGGAGUGCCGGACCAGUUCUUAGGAGCGCCGGACCAGUUCUUAGGAGCGCCGGACCAGUUCUUAGGAGCACCGGACCAGUUCUUAGGAGCACCGGACCAGUUCUUAGGAGUGCCGGACCAGUUCUUAAGACCUUGGCAUUGUAAGUUCGAGGCUUGAUCGUUCCACUGAAUUUGUUCAUUGAUAAUGUUCAGCACAUUUAUGUUCUUUGUCCUGCAAAAAAAUGUUUAUUGGGAGACAAUAAAAGACUAUUGAACAUGU